GGACACUUAAGUUAGUAAAACUAGAAGCCUUCAAAGCUUCUAAUAAAGGCUAAAAUCCUCUAGUUUCCC
rnacentral:tRNA from 1 species